GUGUUUGGUCGAUCAACAUCAGGAGCAAAAAGGGGGUUCCCUUCCAAGAACCCUAACUCACGAAAAUUGCCAGAAUCAAAGAGAAAUCGAGCCGGGAAAUUGGGGCUUUUAAUAAAAUCGUGAUCACCAAGCUUAGGGGAUCACAAGUUUGACUCUUGACAAGCUAGAUGGAGGCUUGGGAGGAAGCGGGUCAAACGGAGCAAGUACGAAAAGAAAACGUUGCUUGGAUGUGAGGAAUAUAUAUCGAAUGGAAAUUUGCAUCGCUAUUAGUUAGCGUUUAUUAAGCAAAGCAUUAAAUGGGUCAAUAUGUUGAUCCGAGCCAGGUACAUUUUGGAUGCCGGAAGACGAUCAAGCAUCAUCGAAGAACCGAAAACUAUAAAGUUACAUGCUUCCGCACAUAGCCCGACGUAAAUUUUGAACGACGAACUCAAUUACGUCAUGUUGAACAACUUAUGAUUUGUAAAAGUUUUAAUAAACCUGCAUUUUUAUAGUAUGUGUAGUCUUAACUAC
rnacentral:lncRNA from 1 species